GGCGCGUUCGUCUAGUCGGUUAGGACACGGCCCUCUCAAGGCCGGUGCACGGGUUCGAGUCCCGUACGCGCUGCCA
rnacentral:tRNA from 1 species